GAUGAACGCUGGCGGCGUGCCUAAUACAUGCAAGUCGAGCGAACAGACGAGGAGCUUGCCCCUCUGACGUUAGCGGCGGACGGGUGAGUAACACGUGGAUAACCUACCUAUAAGACUGGGAUAACUUCGGGAAACCGGAGCUAAUACUGGAUAAUAUAUUGAACCGCAUGGUUCAAUAGUGAAAGACGGUUUUGCUGUCACUUAUAGAUGGAUCCGCGCCGCAUUAGCUAGUUGGUAAGGUAACGGCUUACCAAGGCAACGAUGCGUAGCCGACCUGAGAGGGUGAUCGGCCACACUGGAACUGAGACACGGUCCAGACUCCUACGGGAGGCAGCAGUAGGGAAUCUUCCGCAAUGGGCGAAAGCCUGACGGAGCAACGCCGCGUGAGUGAUGAAGGUCUUCGGAUCGUAAAACUCUGUUAUUAGGGAAGAACAAAUGUGUAAGUAACUAUGCACGUCUUGACGGUACCUAAUCAGAAAGCCACGGCUAACUACGUG
rnacentral:rRNA from 1 species